UCUCCAGUCCUCCCAUUACACUUUUAAUGCAGCAGAGCGGCAUGGCGAAGAUUCAGGAAACAGGAAUGAUGUAGUAGCGCCUUGAAGAAGAGAUACAGGAUGCUUACGUCGGUGAGCUUCAGCGUUUG